AUAUCCUUAAUCAAAUACCAAACAUCAUCUUAGGAUCUGCAGAAGUUCUUGGCUACUGAUCAGACUCUGAGACACUGUUUAUCUUAGAUAUAUACUUAAAAGAUGGGUUCUCUCAUGGCAGGUUGGGGUUCACCUUUUUCUGAUCCUGAAUCUGUGAAGUUGCAGAGAAAUAGGUCGCUGACAAAGGAAGAAAUCGAUGCAUACUGGAGAUCAAAGAGGCAAAAAGAGGAAGAACACCUCAGAGACAUUUCCGGUAGCUUGUCGCCUAAGAAAAUGGCGUCUGACGACAAGAAAACAUUCGGGAGAUCGAUCUCUGGGCCAUUACCUAGUACCAAGGACCGGUUUCUGGACGGAGACGACGACACUGAAACCAACCUGGACAAACUUAUCCGGACACACGGCUGGUGGAUAAGUAGCAACUGGGCACAUCUAAAUGAGCCGCCGGUGACGGCGCCGGAAAGGAUUUACAAGUACGUGUCGCAGUUUCAUGUAGCAAACAUGGCUACCUCCGACGCCAACAAUCGUACCGGAAUUAGCGCAUAAGUCCGCUCAUCUUCCGUUGUCGGUUCAAUCGCGCGUGGGGUUUUUUGCCCCUAAUAUAUAUAGUUCAGUAGUGGGGUUUUUUUGCCCCUAAUAUGUAUAUGGGUUAUGGGUAUGUAUGUGUUUAUAUA